rnacentral:rRNA from 1 species
GGGCCCGCACAAGCGGUGGAGCAUGUGGCUCAAUUCGAUGCAACGCGAAGAACCUUACCAGGCCUUGACAUGCAUUGGACCGGUGCUGAAAGGCACCUUUCCCGCAAGGGACCGAUGCACAGGUGCUGCAUGGCUGUCGUCAGCUCGUGUCGUGAGAUGUUGCCUUAAGUGGCGCAACGAGCGCAACCCCUGUCCCUAGUUGCCAUCAUUCAGUUGGGAACUCUAGGGAGACAAACCUCUUUUAGAGGUGGGAAGGUGGGGAUGACGUCAAGUCAGGAUGGCCCUUACGGCCUGGGCUGCACACGUGCUACAAUGCUCGGUACAGAGGGAAGCGAAACCGCGAGGUGGAGCAAAUCCUAUAAAACCGAGCCCAGUUCAGAUUGGAGUCUGCAACUCGACUCCAUGAAGCCGGAAUCGCUAGUAAUGGCGCAUCAGCUACGGCGCCGUGAAUACGUUCCCGGGCCUU